GAUGAACGCUCGCGGGAGGCCUAACACAUGCAAGCCGAGCGGUAUUUGUUCUUCGGAACAGAGAGAGCGGCGCACGGGUGCGGAACACGUGUGCAACCUGCCUUUAUCUGGGGGAUAGCCUUUCGAAAGGAAGAUUAAUACCCCAUAAUAUAUUGAGUGGCAUCAUUUGAUAUUGAAAACUCCGGUGGAUAGAGAUGGGCACGCGCAAGAUUAGAUAGUUGGUGAGGUAACGGCUCACCAAGUCAAUGAUCUUUAGGGGGCCUGAGAGGGUGAUCCCCCACACUGGUACUGAGACACGGACCAGACUCCUACGGGAGGCAGCAGUGAGGAAUAUUGGACAAUGGGUUAGCGCCUGAUCCAGCCAUCCCGCGUGAAGGACGACGGCCCUAUGGGUUGUAAACUUCUUUUGUAUAGGGAUAAACCUACUCUCGUGAGAGUAGCUGAAGGUACUAGACGAAUAAGCACCGGCUAACUCCGUG
rnacentral:rRNA from 1 species